rnacentral:rRNA from 1 species
CCUACGGGAGGCAGCAGUGGGGAAUAUUGCACAAUGGGCGAAACCCUGAUGCAGCGACGCCGCGUGAGUGAAGAAGUAUCUCGGUACGUAAAGCUCUAUCAGCAGGGAAGAAAAUGACGGUACCUGACUAAGAAGCCCCGGCUAACUACGUGCCAGCAGCCGCGGUAAUACGUAGGGGGCAACGGUUAUCCGGAUUUACUGGGUGUAAAGGGCGCGUAGACGGCAGCGCAAGUCUGGGGUGAAAUGCCGGGGUCCAACCCCGGAACUGCUUUGGAAACUGUGCAGCUGGAGGGCAGGAGAGGUAAGCGGAAUUCCUGGUGUAGCAGUGAAAUGCGUAGAUAUGAGGAGGAACACCAGUGGCGAAGGCGGCUUACUGGACUGUAACUGACGUUGAGGCUCGAAAGCGUGGGGAGCAAACAGGAUUAGAUACCCUUGUAGUC